rnacentral:rRNA from 1 species
UACGAAGGGUGCAAGCGUUGUUCGGAUUUAUUGGGCGUAAAGGGCGCGUAGGCGGAUAGAUAAGUCAGGUGUGAAAUCUCGGAGCUCAACUCCGAAAUUGCGCCUGAAACUGUUUAUCUAGAAUCUCAUAGAGGGAGAGAGAAUUUCGCAUGUAGGGGUAAAAUCCGUAGAGAUGCGAAGGAAUACCAGAGGCGAAGGCGCUUUCCUGGAUGAGAAUUGACGCUGAGGCGCGAAAGCGUGGGGAGCAAACAGGAUUAGAUACCCUGGUAGUCCACGCCGUAAACGAUGAGCACUAGUCGUGGGUAAGGUUACUUAUCUGUGACGCAGCUAACGCAGUAAGUGCUCCGCCUGGGGAGUACGGUCGCAAGACUAAA